rnacentral:rRNA from 2 species
ACACGUACCCAUCCCGAACACGACCGUUAAGCCCUCCAGCGCCGAUGGUACUUGGACCGCAGGGUCCUGGGAGAGUAGGACGCCGCCAAGC